GACGAACGCUGGCGGCGUGCUUAACACAUGCAAGUCGAACGGAAAGGCCCUGCUUUUGUGGGGUGCUCGAGUGGCGAACGGGUGAGUAACACGUGAGUAACCUGCCCUUGACUUUGGGAUAACUUCAGGAAACUGGGGCUAAUACCGGAUAGGAGCUCCUGCUGCAUGGUGGGGGUUGGAAAGUUUCGGCGGUUGGGGAUGGACUCGCGGCGUAUCAGCUUGUUGGUGGGGUAGUGGCUUACCAAGGCUUGGACGGGUAGCCGGCCUGAGAGGGUGACCGGCCACAUUGGGACUGAGAUGCGGCACAGACUCCUACGGGAGGCAGCAGUGGGGAAUAGUGCACAAUGGGCGGAAGCCUGAUGCAGCAACGCCGCGUGCGGGAUGACGGCCUUCGGGUUGUAAUCCGCUUUCGCCUGUGACGAAGCGUGAGUGACGGUAAUGGGUAAAGAAGCACCGGCUAACUACGUG
rnacentral:rRNA from 1 species